CGUCAAAAAGUUAACCAACUUAUUUAUGAGUUUCACUUUUCUGUUAAGACCUUAAUAUCUGCUCUUGAUAAUGAUAACAAUUUUCCUACGCUUCUAAACAUGAUUUACACCAAACUUUUACUUUACAACUUUUCUCCUGUGCUUUACAACUUUAUGCAAUUGUUGAUCAUCAUACACGUGAGAAUGACUCUAGUAUAUAUAAUUCUUAAACAUCAUCAGCAUACCAAAUUAAUAAGAAAAUAGAUCCAAACAUGUAAUUUAGUAGUUUGUUUUAAGAAAAUAGAUUCAAACGACUCAAACCUAAACGAUUCUUUUCUUCUUUUAUUUUCCGAUUAACUUGGCAUCAAUAUUCUUUUCGUGAAACAAGAGACUGAAGAGAGCACGUGUUGGUCCGUGAAUCUAUCUCCCUGACAGUGCCCUACCAUCGUCAUCGUCUCAUCGCGUUCUAUCUUUGUUCAUUGAAACUAGUUCUGUCUAGUUGGGAAUAGUAUUGAGGACGAAGGAUCAGACAUAAACACCACUAGCAAGUAGCAAAAACAGCGAUCCAAAUCCC